CUAUAAAAAGAUGAAGCGGCCCAUUUGCCGUCAUGGGCAUCUUCUGGUCUCUGGGACCGCCCACUUCCUGGUGCGCACUUCUGCUUAGCCUCAUAGCUCCGGAAAACACCGCAGCCCAAUCUCGCCAUAAACCGAGCUUCUGCGAUUUGCGUGCUGUUUUGUUUCUGGUGACGAACAGCCUGGGACUUUCUGUGCUCCCAGUAAUGUCGGAUCAGCUGCUGUUUUUUUAAAUCUGAAUUUCUGGACGACUUCACCUUCGCUUGUUCUUAACUACGCUGUGUACGUCGAGGAUUCUGCUGGGGUGGCUCUCCCUGCAACGUCCGUUGGAGGUGCAUGAGGAAGACAUACCAGGGCACUCCCGGACUCUGCCCCCCACUGGAGAACAUGAGCGGUUCUCAUCUCCAGACUUUUAACUGAAUACCCGUUUAGCUUGGUGCUUUUAAGUGCUGAGGACCCAGUCUCGUGCCCAGGUGGAGGUUUCCCUCGUUUGGAGUGUCGUGUCCUGGUGAAGGGAUUCACGUGUGAGUGUGCCAUAUCACGAGCUUGGGGUGAAUUACAUUUUAGUUGUUUUGUUUUGGGGGCCUCCACCUUGCGUA